rnacentral:rRNA from 1 species
GACGAACGCUGGCGGCGUGCUUAACACAUGCAAGUCGAACGGAAAGGCCUUUUCGGAGGUACUCGAGUGGCGAACGGGUGAGUAACACGUGGGUGAUCUGCCCUGCACUCUGGGAUAAGCCUGGGAAACUGGGUCUAAUACCGGAUAGGACCGCACUUUAGUGUGUGUGGUGGAAAGUUUUUUCGGUGUAGGAUGAGCCCGCGGCCUAUCAGCUUGUUGGUGGGGUAAUGGCCUACCAAGGCGGCGACGGGUAGCCGGACUGAGAGGUUGGUCGGCCACAUUGGGACUGAGAUACGGCCCAGACUGCGACGGGAGGCAGAAGGGGGGAAUAUUGCACAAUGGGCGCAAGCCUGAUGCAGCGACGCCGCGGGGGGGAGGACGGCCUUCGGGUUGUAAAAUCAUUGCGCCAGGGACGAAGCGUUUUGUGACGGUACCUGGAGAAGAAGCACCGGCUAACUACGUG